CCUCGUCAAGGAGAACUUCCUCGUCGAGGAGAACUUCCUCGUCGAGGAGAACUUCCUCGUCGAGGAGAACUUCCUCGUCAGGGAGAACUUCCUCAGGGCGAACUUCCUCGUCGAGGAGAACUUCCUCGCAAGGGAGAGCUUCCUCAAAGUUCUCGUCCAAGAGUUCCUUGUCGCCGUGAAGUACCCCGUUCAUGUGAAGUUCCUCGUCGCCGGGAAGCUCCUCGUCCUGCCAGUACACUCCCUGCCGCUACUCUUCAUCCGCCACUCAUCACCCGCGCGCCAC
rnacentral:lncRNA from 1 species